rnacentral:rRNA from 1 species
UACAGAGGGUGCGAGCGUUAAUCGGAAUUACUGGGCGUAAAGCGUGCGUAGACGGUCACGUAAGUCGGGUGUGAAAGCCCCGGGCUCAACCUGGGAAUUGCAUUCGAGACUGCAUGGCUAGGGUGCGGAAGAGGGAAGCGGAAUUUCCGGUGUAGCGGUGAAAUGCGUAGAUAUCGGAAGGAACACCAGUGGCGAAAGCGGCUUCCUGGUCCAGCACCGACGUUCAGGCACGAAAGCGUGGGGAGCAAACAGG